UUGAUACAGGGUCUCACUCUGUCAUCCAGGUUGGAGUGCAGUGGCAUCAUCAAAGCUCCCUGCAGCCUCAACCUCCUGAGCUCAAGCAAUUCUCUUUCCUCAGCCUCCCAGAGCAGAAUCCAGUCAUAAGAAAUCAGACAUUUUAUUCAAGACAAUCUACUUAUUGACUGAGAAAGAAUUAGCACCCUAUCAGCAGAUUCUCAGUUUAGAAAAAUAUUCAUCCUUAGCAAUAGCCAACUACUUAAGAUUUCCUGAACCAACCAUACUGAAUCGGGAGUUAUCAUUGCCUGUGCACUCAGAAUAUUUCCUUUUACUUGAAGUCUUCAUUCAUCAUCCUUCAGAAUCAUCUGUUAGGCUUUACUAGCUCUGAGAAGACUUCCUUGAUACGCUGAAGCCACAACUCCUUCCCUGCAACCAUCCAACAUGAAGUUGUUCAUUCAAUCUUCAGAAAAAUGUCCACACUAUUGCUGCAUUUACCACUUUAUAAACCAAAUAUCUGUUUAGAUACUGUUUUCCCUACAAAUCCAUGAACAUUUUGAGUAAAGUAACUGUAUGUUUACACAUUAAAUGUGCCUGAUUAUUUUAAUGGGCCCACAGAAAAAUGGAAAUCUGUAGUGAAAGUCUAUUGUUUCCUCUAAGUGUGUCAGA
rnacentral:lncRNA from 1 species